rnacentral:lncRNA from 1 species
CUUGAAUUGUACACUUGAAUCCUGUUCAGAUAUCCGGGGUCAAGGGUGGGCAACGAGGUGGUAUUUCUAGUUUUUUGUGGGGGUUUUUUGCCCUCGUUUUAAAAACGUGUUCCCCUAUACUUACGAUAUGUCUUUUAACCAACAAAAAUAGCAGAUUGGGUUUUUCAGACUUAGCAGUCAAAACCGUCUUAAGAAAACCUAAUACCCGCAGUGUCAGAGUCUUUGCUGACGCUGACCUCACAGGAAACGUCUAGCAUCGGCCACGUGUUCGCAUUGUGCAGAGAGGGAGGGCUCCUCUGCUUCCUGUUAGUACGGGGGUUGUGGGGGUGCUGCAGACGGUUCGCUGUCCUAAGCAGCCAGAGAUACAACGGACUCGAGAAAAGGCUCUAGGAGUUGAGGUCUGAUCCUGUCCUCGCUCGUGUAUGUGAUACUACAGAAAAGAGGGUUUCAGCGGUUUCUGCCUUGUACGACCAACGUGUGUGUGAUGCGUGUGCGAGGGAGCCAGUCUGGUCACAGUAUAGCUUGUAUGUGGGAGCAGUGCCCUGGGUACAUGACGGUCACGCAGCUGCUCCAGUCAGACUGAGUUCCCCCUAGUCCCCGCACUUGGGUGGACCACACGGGUGACGUUGGAGGGAGCCGGGUGAGC